GGAACUGUGGCCUCCGAGCCCUGAAACCCACAGUUCAGUUUGCUGUCAGCUGCCCUGUCUCCCUCUCAGUGGGGUCAUUGCUGUAUCGCUGAGCCGGAAAGAAAAUCAUGUUCACUGGUUGACUUUGCAAAUUUAUCAAGAGAAGGAAGAACUAAUACUUGAAGAGACAACAGGGAAGAAAGCUACUUUGAAAGGAAAUUUUCCUGGUAGAAUGGGAUGUUUUCAUGAGAUAAACAUGCUACACAGCAGAAGAAAAUGACAUUCUGGAGUCUCUGUUCUUGGAACAUGCCUAUCUGAGAUUCACCCAUCAGGAAUUCUCCUCCUGGUUGGCAGACACCCUGAUGUCAAUUGUCAUCUGCUGCACCUUUGAUAUGGCCACCACCAUGUUUUCUUGGAUGCAACCUUGUAAAAGGAACCACUC